AUCCACAGCCAUAUCACUCUGCAGCCCAAGACCGGUUACUCACUGAAGCUAAGCAGGGCUAAGCCUGGUUAGUACCUAGAUGGGAGACCAGACGGGAAAACUAGGUGGCUGUUGGAA
rfam:Danio rerio chromosome 2, GRCz11 reference primary assembly.